rnacentral:tRNA from 1 species
CGUGGGGUAGAGCAGUGGUAGCUCGUCGCGCUCAUAACGCGAAGGUCGCGGGUUCGAAUCCCGCCCCCGCCA